ACGCACGCUGGCGGCGUGCUUAACACAUGCAAGUCGAACGGAAAGGCCCUGCUUGCAGGGUGCUCGAGUGGCGAACGGGUGAGUAACACGUGGGUGAUCUGCCCCUUAUUUUGGGAUAAGCCUGGGAAACUGGGUCUAAUACUGGAUAGGACCAUGCUGUAGGUGGUGUGGUGGAAAGAUUAGUUUCGGUAAGGGAUGAGCUCGCGGCCUAUCAGCUUGUUGGUGGGGUAAUGGCCUACCAAGGCGUCGACGGGUAGCCGGCCUGAGAGGGUGGACGGCCACAUGGGGACUGAGAUACGGCCCAGACUCCUACGGGAGGCAGCAGUGGGGAAUAUUGCACAAUGGGCGCAAGCCUGAUGCAGCGACGCCGCGUGGGGGAUGACGGCCUUCGGGUUGUAAACUCCUUUCAGCCAUGACGAAGCCCUUGUGGUGACGGUAGUGGUAGAAGAAGCACCGGCUAACUACGUG
rnacentral:rRNA from 1 species